rnacentral:rRNA from 1 species
CCUACUGGGUACAUCAUUGAGGCAUUUGGGUCAAUGGGCGCGAGCCUGAACCAGCCAAGUAGCGUGAAGUCUUCCUUCCCUCCUUUUUUUCCCCUUCUUUUCUCCCUUCCUCCAUUUAUUCCCUUUUUCCUUUUUGUAUUUACUUUAUGAAUACGUCUCUUCUAACUCCUUGCCAGCCUCCUCUUGAAUACUUCUUCUCCUCUCGUUCUCCUUAUUUCUUUGGUUUACCGGUCUAGUAGAUGGGUUGUUAAGUCAGUUGUGAAAGUUUGCGGCUCAACCGUAAAAUUGCAAGGGAUACUGGCAGUCUUGAGUACAGUUGAGGUAGGCGGAAUUCGUGGUGUAGAGGUGAAAGGCUUAGAGAUCAAGAAGAACUCCGAUUGAGAAGGCAGCUUAAGAAACGGCAAAUGAAAUUGAUGCUAAAAAGGGGGGGGAUAAAACAGGAGGAGAGAAAAGGGGAGUC